GCCCAGUAGCGGCGAGUGAGCGGCAAGAGCUCAGAUUUGAAAUCGUGUUUCGGCACGAGUUGUAGAGUGUAGGCGGGAGUCUCUGUGGAGCGCGGUGUCCAAGUCCCUUGGAACAGGGUGCCUGAGAGGGUGAGAGCCCCGUAGGGUGCUGCGCGAAGCUUUUGAGGCCCUGCUGACGAGUCGAGUUGUUUGGGAAUGCAGCUCCAAGCGGGUGGUAAAUUCCAUCUAAGGCUAAAUAUUGGCGAGAGACCGAUAGCGAACAAGUACUGUGAAGGAAAGAUGAAAAGCACUUUGAAAAGAGAGUGAAACAGCACGUGAAAUUGUUGAAAGGGAAGGGUAUUGGGCUCGACAUGGGGGGUGCGCACCGCUGUCUCUUGUAGGCGGCGCUCUGGGCGCCCUCUGGGCCAGCAUCGGUUCCUGCUGCGGGAGAAGGGGCUCCGGAAAGUGGCUCUUCGGAGUGUUAUAGCCGGGGCCAGAUGCCGCGUGUGGGGACCGAGGACUGCGGCUUCUGUCUCGGAUGCUGGCAUAACGGCGCAAUACCGCCCGUCUUGA
rnacentral:rRNA from 1 species